UGGGGAAUAUUGCACAAUGGGCGCAAGCCUGAUGCAGCCAUGCCGCGUGUGUGAAGAAGGCCUUCGGGUUGUAAACACUUUCAGCGAGGAGGAAGGUGGUGAACUUAAUACGUUCAUCAAUUGACGUUACUCGCAGAAGAAGCACCGGCUAACUCCGUGCCAGCAGCCGCGGUAAUACGGAGGGUGCAAGCGUUAAUCGGAAUUACUGGGCGUAAAGCGCACGCAGGCGGUUUGUUAAGUCAGAUGUGAAAUCCCCCGGGCUCAACCUGGGAACUGCAUUUGAAACUGGCAAGCUAGAGUCUCGUAGAGGGGGGUAGAAUUCCAGGUGUAGCGGUGAAAUGCGUAGAGAUCUGGAGGAAUACCGGUGGCGAAGGCGGCCCCCUGGACGAAGACUGACGCUCAGGUGCGAAAGCGUGGGGCAGCAAACAGGAUUAGAUACCCCUGGUAGUCCACGCUGUAAAACGAUGUCGAUUUUGGAGGUUGUGCCCUUGAGGCGUGGCUUCCGGAGCUAACGCGUUAAAUCGACCGCCUGGGGAGUACGGCCGCAAGGUUAAAAC
rnacentral:rRNA from 1 species